GAUGAAGAACGUAGCGAAAUGCGAUAAGUAGUGUGAAUUGCAGAAUUCCGUGAAUCAUCGAAUCUUUGAACGCACAUUGCGCCUUCUGGUAUUCCGGAAGGCAUGCCUGUUCGAGAGUCAUUAACACCGUUUCGAUCCCUUUCUUUCAGAAAUUACAAAGAGGAAAAGGGUUUGGUUAUGGUGGAGGAGGGAAAGGGAGCGUUUAGCCUGUAAAAAAAGAGGCUGUGUUCCGCCUCCCCCCCAAAAUUGUACAGGCGGUCGUGUGCGCCCACGCAUCGAGGUGUUGUAAAAGCUGCCACGGCACUUUUCACCUGUGCAGUGCGAGAUUGGCCAGCCGGUUUAAAAACCCCUCCAAACAAUCAAAGGUUGACCUCGGAUCAGGUAGGGAUACCCGCUGAACUUAAGCAUAUCAAUAAGCGGAGGA
rnacentral:misc_RNA from 1 species